rnacentral:snRNA from 1 species
UUCCUAUGUUUUACAAGGCUACA